rnacentral:rRNA from 1 species
UACGUAGGGCGCAAGCGUUGUCCGGAAUUAUUGGGCGUAAAGAGCUCGUAGGCGGUUUGUCGCGUCUGCCGUGAAAACCCGAGGCUUAACCUCGGGCUGGCGGUGGAUACGGGCAGACUAGAGGUAGGUAGGGGAGAAUGGAAUUCCCGGCGUAGCGGUGAAAUGCGCAGAUAUCGGGAGGAACACCGGUGGCGAAGGCGGUUCUCUGGGCCUUACCUGACGCUGAGGAGCGAAAGCGUGGGGAGCGAACAGG